CACAUUGACAUUGAGUCUCUGUCUGAUAGUUCUGAGGACCAGGGGGCAAAGUCCUGGCCCAGACUCCAAACUAGGUGUGAUUGUCAGUGCGAAUCUUUAUGUUUAAUUUUUUUCAACAAUAUUGAUCCCAUUCAUGUCAAUGUAGCGCCGGAGAAAAUGAGUCGGAGGCGGAGUGUCGGACACAGGAACAGAACUUGCUUUAUUGUUCGACAUCACCAAACUCUUCGCAUAACAGAGGGAACUCUGUUAACCUUUCCUCCGGAAGCGCAACAACAAAAACAGUCCGUGCGGAACCCCGCACCCCAACUCGAGGUCCCGCGGGUGAAUUAUGCAAACACCACACAAGCCCCCCCAGAAUUCACCCAUAGUCAAAAUCCUUGUGCCGUGGAGGGAUGAUGACCCGACCCCGGCGAGUGUGCACUGUAGGGGCCGAUGGGGGCGGGGCCGCACUGUCCAUUGAGUCACGGGACAAGGGCUCAGGCGGGGUCACCAGUGUAGCGCCGGAAAAAAGGAGUCGGAGGCGGAGUGUCGGACACAGGAACAGAACUUGCUUUAUUGUUCGACAACACCAAACUCUUCGCAUAACGGCGGGAACUCUGUUAACCUUUCCUCCGGAAGCGCAACAACAAAAACAGUCCGUGCGGAACCCCGCACCCCAACUCGUGGUCCCGCAGGUGAAUUAUGUAAACACCACAUCAAUAUGACGGUGCCUUGUCAUGGAGUAAUGUACAAUCUGAUUAAACCAAUUUAAAGAUGAUACUCUGAAUACAAGUAAAGCAGGAGCCCCAUAUCUCAGUGGUUUGUCAUGGAGUAAUGUACAAUUUGAGCAAACCAAUUUAAAGAUGAUACUCUGAAUACAAGUAAAGGAAAGUAAAGGAGGAGCCCCAUGUCAGUGGUUAGAGCAUUGGUUUGGUAUACCAGGGUUCGUGAGUUGUUUCUCACGGGGGCCAUCCUGCGUAAAAAAUGUGCCAAAUAUGAGCAUUCAUCAUAGAUGACAUGCUGUGGCAACCCCUAACGGGACAAGCCAAAAGAAAGUUGUACUGAAUACUAGUAAAUAAUGUUGACGGAAAAUAACUAUACUUAAGUGAAGCAUCUUCAAUCCCUUAUGGUCUGCCUACAAGAAGAAUCGCAUCACUGCUAGCAACUUUGGUUGAGUUUUGGCUGCAGUUGGACGCAACUCUUACACUCCCUCACUCUGUAAGACUUUGCGAGGACAAUACAAUAUUAAAGAAGGACACAAGGCUGUGGACUGGGAGAUCCUUCAUGAACCUAUUGCUCUUGCGGAGUAUACACGCAUCACUGGCCAGCCUGUAUCUCCAGCAGGAUUUGUACUCUCUCCAAGUGGUGUUCUUGGAGCUUCACCGGAUUGAAUCAUCG